CAGCGUGCUAUCCUAAGGACCGGGGCUUGUCUGUAGCUCUAGGUUCUCCAAGUGCAUGCAAGAGAAUAGGGUGGUCUUUGACUGUUGCGGCCAUCUCUGCCUCCAGCAGCCACUCAACUGUCCAACACGU